CAUAGGAGGAUGAAGGAAUUGAGAAGUGAGAGCAAUAGGAGGGAGGUCCCAUUUCUUUAACUUACCAAAAGGAUCAUCCCAGAAAUGGUUGAGCUUCAUCAGACCGACGUUACAACAAGGAGAAGACGACAAAAUAAUACAGCUUGAAUAGAGAAAUCAUAAAAAAAAAAAAAAAAAAAAAUGAGGUGGAGCAUCUCCCCAAAAGCAAGAGUCCACCAAAAACAGCAGCAAUCAAACAUGAUUCCUCGAUGUUUUGGUAAUUUUACAAGAAAAUGGUCUAAACAGGAGGGGAAAAAAAACUUGUGGUAUAAAAAUUAAAAAAUGUAGUUCCAUUUUAUUUUGAUCUCCCAUUUUAGUUUAUCCCUAAAAUUCCCCAUAAAUAAAUAAAAGUUAAAACCUAACAUAAAUCAAUUCCCCGUUUCCUUUCCAUCCAAUUCAAGCUUCAGGGGUGUUUGGCAACGUAGUAAUUUGAGAGAAUUUGGUUGGGCGGCUAAAAAAACCAAUCCAUCCUUUUGGUUCACCAAUAAUUAAAGGGUUUUAUUGCCUCUUAUUCCUCACAUUUCUGGCUUGGUUGCUCUGUCUACUCCUCCAAUUACUUCCUUAUAAUUAUUGCCAACUCAACUAUUUGUUUUUAUCCCCGAUCAAUUGUCCACUUAAUGAGUUAUAAACAGUUUUUUGCUAUUUCAUAAUUCAUAUUAAAUUCACUAUUUUGUGUGUUCUGUAAAAUUGAUCAUUGAGAGUAGUAUUUUUAAACUUGUUUCAUUUCAAAACACAACACUCAAAAGUUUAUUCCGAACUCUAAUGCAUACUUGGAUCAAUGCAUGGUAAAAAAAUAAUUUUGAACAUUCUAAUAACACUUCAGAUAUACUCUAAAGCGUUUGAAGCACUUUCUGCUUCUUCUACGAGUAACGAAAUGUUUGUUACUCUUAGAAGCCAUUCUAAACUCACUCUAUCUAGUUGUGAGAGAAGAGACAAAAAAAUCUUUUAUAAAACAGUAGGGACUGAGUUUUGUUCUAAGAAGUCAGCCUCUUAGCCAGUUCUCAGGAGCUUAGUGCAUCCUUUGGAUCAUUCACGCAAAAAUGACAUGAAUUAUAGGUUGGUUUCACAAAGACUUGAUAGCACGUAAGUUCGAGUUGUUUCACCACUUUACAUCUGCGCUCCAAACAUCAGCAAAGAACAACGAAACCAGGUACUCUCAAACCUUUACUCAUGUUAAAUUUGCUUCUGCAUUUCAUAAAUUAUAGAAUUCUUUCAUUUCCUUCGCGUGUUUUUUAUCUUUAGAUUUCCAUUUUUGUUUCUCCUUGGUUGGGAGUUUUCUGAAGCCGUCAUGACAAUUGGUAGAACAUAUGGAAGUUCUUGAGGAUCUAUCAGCACAUGACAAGAAGCAUCCACGACGGUACCAUGGGUUCAGUUAAAAGCUUCUGCUCUUAUUUUCAUGAUUUAAGUGUAAGUUUUAAAAUAUUUGAACUUAGAGUUUCACUACUUGCAUUCUUGAAAAUUUUAUGUAUAUUCUUGUUUUGAAUUUAUAUUUUAGGGGGACCUCAAGAAAAGAUUUAAUAUUAGUAUUGAAUUGUUAUUUUUAUCAAA